rnacentral:rRNA from 1 species
GCGGACGUGGUGGCGGGAUCGGGGGUCAUACGAAGGGGUCAAUGGGUGAUGGGAAUGACUUGGCGUAAAGCGGUCGUAGGCUGUUCUGUAAGUCUGCUGUGAAAGCCCCGAGCUCAACCUGGGAAUGGCAGUGGAUACUGGAGAGCUAGAGGGUGAUAGAGGAUGGUGGAAUUCCCGGUGUAGCGGUGAAAUGCGUAGAGAUCGGGAGGAACAUCAGUGGCGAAGGCGGCCAUCUGGAUCAACACUGACGCUGAGGCACGAAAGCGUGGGGAGCAAACAGGAUUAGAUACCCUGGUAGUC